CACGGACACGGGCAUCUCCCCAGUACCUACGACCCCAACUCCCUCCAGCGCCGUCACCACCGCCCCCUCUUCUGCGACCACCACGCCGUCCGCGCCGCCCUAAAGCACACUGCUCCUUUCCCUUCCCAAGCCGCCCUGGAUCUGGCGAUGGAGGUGGCCGCCGUCGUGGCCAUGGAGGUCUCGCCAGCUGCCUUCGAAGUCCUACAUCCCCGAUAACGGCGGGAUUGCAGCCGCCUGGCCAAGGUCGUCGGCCCUCGACGAGCUCCUCCAUAACUUCUGGUUCCCCACAGUGCCUAUGGGCCGCCUCUCCCUCUCCAUCCUACGCUCCUCCUUCUCCACUUCAGAUUUUGGCUGAAAAUCGCCUCUCCCUAUUCCCCUUCCAAUCUGUAGCACAGGCGGAGAGCCUGGUUGUGUGCGGCGGAGAUGGCGCCCCGCCUCUGCGCCUCAUAAGGCUGGACGUAGCUCCGCCGAGGCCAUGACUUUUCCAGCGGAGGAUCACAGGUGUACUGCAUGCAGUUUCAAUUUAACCAGGCAGUUGCCAUCAUCGUGAGACUUGCCAACUUGAGGAACUACAACGAUUCUUUGUUCCAGCCAUAUCCGAUCCACUGGGCCGGAGCUUUCACAUCACCUACAACGCACGGUGCUCGCGGCGCGCCGUUGGCGCCAGCCUCAUUGCCGCACUCCCGGAACCCCUCAAGUAGCUCAUGCUCGUUCGGUCAUGCAGGACGGCGCUAUAGCACUAUCGUUGGAUGUGAAUCGCUUCAAAACCGGAAGCAGCAUGCGCGCUGAUGUGGCGUGUUUCCUCCUUUGCUACACUCUGAUUGACUGAUGGUUAGAUGGUUGAUGUUGCAGUCUGAUGAGGCCUAGCGGGUGUGGCUUCUGCUGAAAUUUUUUACACCAGCAGCUCCUGGUGAGUUUGAUCCCCUGAGUCAUUAUAGAGGAAGUGAGAAUGUCAGAAAGGAGAAGAAGAAAAAACCUUGCUGCCGGGGAUGACAUCCACACCAUUUUGUGUGUGUUGGUGGAGUGAUUGAACCAUGGCAAUCAGAGCUAACAUCACAUCUCCCUUCCUCAUACACACUUUUUGGGUAGUUGUGCAUCUAUAUUCCAUUCUACACACCAAGAAAUUAUGUUAUUUUUCUUUUACUGAAGCAGUUACGAUUUAGUAGUACAUUGUUAUCAUUCUCAACAAAUUCAUACAUGACACCUUUGAUAAGAAAGAACUUUCAGCGAUUGAGUUACUUUAUUCGACUUUAUGUUUUUCAGGAGGGGAGUCCGGGAGGUGGGACAGCCGGCAGCGGCGCCAUUCUGUUUGGGGAUGCUUGGAUCUGGUGAUGCUGGAGCAUGGGAACGGGAAACAUCACCUCAGCUAUGGAAUUUCAAAUAGCCAAUUUACCUUUCUCCCUCAAGAUUUCUUACACUUCUGUCAGUAUCAUUGCUCUUGGGGUCUAGAUUUUGUCAAUAUCAAAAUCUGGGUACUUACCAGCAAACGGUUUGUUGAUCUAUUUACUUAGUCAAGUUCAUUUCUGCUAUGUUCUUCAGUCAAGCUUUAGAUUCUAUCCUUGAUUAAAUAGCAAUGAUGUUGUCCAAAACCUGCUAAUGUCGGAAAUCCUACUGCCCAGCAGGAUUUCUAGAAUUCUGGUGCAUCUGGUUUCUAUAACAUGGUUUGCCAACCGCGGUGAGCACUGCUCAGUGUGUGGCAGCUUUUCAUUAGGAUUGGAAACAAGAUUUGAGAUACAGGUGUAGGUCAAAUUUUGCAAAAAUUAUGGGUCUGUAGGUACAAAGUUACAUGUAGGAAAUUUUACAAUUUUCUGAGAGUAAAAAUUCAAGCAUGAAUUUGAAUAUAGUUGCAUGAUUUUUUUGCUGACAAGUUUUCUUAUAUUUACUUCUCUUUCUAUGGUAUAGGAAUUUAUGUGCCUACUUAACUGUUCAAAGAUAUCCGUUUUGUUUGUCGAUUCGAAGUUACCACAUAUAAGCUUGAGUCCAUGUGAACUGACACAUAGUUUGGAACAAAAUAAAACUUAAUACUGUAGUACAGUUUGGUGGUUAAACUACUCCUUACCUCGACAUUCUAAUAAUUUGUAAUAAUGAUAGUUGGCAUUGGUCAUCAAGACCGCUUGCAUGAAAUUAGUGGCUUGCUGCUGUUGUACUCUUCAAAAAUUCUGUUGCUUCGGUUUAUUUUACAUUUUUUAAUUUACUGUUUUUUUCGAAACAAAAGUACUAGAGAAUAUUAUUCUACAUUAUUUUCAACCGCUACAUUUUAUCUAUUUGCGGUAUGACUGUAUGGUUCUCAAUCAAAGAAGAGGCCCAACAGUCUCUUUCGGGACUUUUUAUCACCACAUAUAUAAUCUUAUUGAACUAGGAGUCGAGAACUACAAUUCCCCAAAAGAUCAUAUAUGCUUGAUGUGUGUGAACAUAUUGCAGGGAGGCGGUUCCAAUGAUGGCUCGGUUCCUGCACAGCUUCACUAAGAGGCAUAUGCUGUAUGAGAUGUUGUAUUCUCACUUCUUAGACUGUCUGUAAUCUGAUUUGCUCGCUAGGUGCUUGAUAAAAUGCCCAUCCGAGCAAACAAUUUGUUUUGUGCUACCUGAGAGAUGCAAGUUGGAUGUGGAGGACAAUCAUGUACAGCCCUUAGGUUCUAUGGUUAAUCUGCUUAACCUGGGAGGUGGUCAUCAAGUUUGAGAUGGAAAGUGUAGGUGCUAUGUACUGUUUUCAAUGAACCAAUAAAAUGCAUUGGCUAUUUUCUACUCAG
rnacentral:rRNA from 1 species